AGGGAAGAGCUUUACUGAUGCUGGCGAUGGAUGGAAAAGCAAGCAGGUAGGCGUGAUAUCAAAUCAAGCAUGGACUCUCUCUAGAAGCAAAAGUGACUGAGGCUGAUACACUUUAGACGUAUAAGGAAAUGCUUAGAAAAAAUGAAGCUAGUAGGAAAAGAGGAAGACUGAACAUGAGAUGGAUUGAGAAAACAGAGGAAGGAACGGCUUGAAUGUGUAAUAUCUCAGCGGGACCUUCUGGAAAUAAUUAAUUCAUGCCAUAUGUCAGAUGCAACCUGACAGUUCAGAACAGCAACAUCUCAACAAGAAGCACCAAACAAAACGAAGGCAAGAAAAAAACACAUUUGCAGCACCUUAAAGAUUCACUGUUAUAUUUUAAUGUAAGCUUUCCUGGAGCAUGCUCACUUCUUCAGACCUAAGAACCGGAAUGCUGAAACGACAUGGGACAGAACAACUGAACCAACCAUCAACACCGGUUGGGGACCACCUUAAGAAACACCCCACUAUGACAAAAAAAAACCACCUGUAACUUAAAUGGGCUACAGAUCAUGAUCCUGAACCAACCAGGGCAACCAUCGAGCUGUUUGUGAAGACAUCAUGCGGAAGGCCAGACUGGAC